rnacentral:rRNA from 1 species
UACGGAGGGGGCCAGCGUUGUUCGGAAUUAUUGGGCGUAAAGGGCGCGUAGGCGGCCAUUCAAGUCGGACGUGAAAUCCCUCGGCUCAACCGGGGAACUGCGUCCGAUACUGUUUGGCUCGAGUCCUGGAGAGGGUAGUGGAAUUCCCAGUGUAGCGGUGAAAUGCGUAGAUACUGGGAGGAACACCGGUGGCGAAGGCGGCUACCUGGACAGGUACUGACGCUGAUGCGCGAAAGCUAGGGGAGCAAACAGG